rnacentral:rRNA from 1 species
UACGUAGGUGGCAAGCGUUGUCCGGAUUUACUGGGCGUAAAGCGCGCGCAGGUGGUUUGUUAAGUCCGGUGUGAAAGCUCCCGGCUCAACUGGGAGAGGUCAUCGGAUACUGGCAGACUUGAGGAAGGUAGAGGUCGGUGGAAUUCCCGGUGUAGUGGUGAAAUACGUAGAGAUCGGGAGGAACACCAGUGGCGAAAGCGGCCGACUGGGCCUUUCCUGACGCUGAGGCGCGAAAGCGUGGGGAGCGAACCGG